GCAAAAAUUGACAUUAGUUUUAUUGAGAGCGCGCUGCGCGUGGUUCCCUUCAUACCAACGUUGACUGGACGGUGAAGGGCGCGUGAUCCCUUAAACUAAUAUAGAAUAGUACUGACACUACUGACACAUUGCAGCUGGAAAGUGACAUAAAUGACCGUUAAACCUCGCCGCCAGGCAAUUUCGAAAAAUAAAAUCGGUAAAUGGCAACAUUUUAUACCCAAACCAACACAAAGCGCGAUGGUAAAAGGUGACUUAGUUGGUGUAAGCACACAAGGUCGAUGGUUGUCACGUGACCGAAGAAUUACCUGAUAGUUGGAGACCAAUUUACCGGAUCUCCACGCUUCGACGGUAAACAGAGCGCCAACAUAGUCUGCACUUUACGAAAAUCCGCACUCACUACUGACACACUAAUCAACAAUUAUUUAAAAAAUAAACGGCGGUAUUUAUGAAUUUUAGCUCAAAUUCAUCAAAAGAAAAUGGGAAAGCUGCGGAAAAUGCAACUUUUCACUGACAGCGCUUGUCACUUUCAGCGCUCAACAAGAUCUGUUGAAAAAAUGUCAAAAUUCCGUAUUGUUGGCGGUCUUUGUCUGAUGAACAGCAAAAAGGCAAUUAAUGCAAUUGAAGGGAUAGUCAAAUUGAAUUGUUUAUUUCAGUUCAUGUUUUAUUCAGUAAUGUUUGCAAAUUAAUAGAAUAAGAAAUAAUGUUGACAGGUCAAACAAGAAAACUUUAAUUUAGGUUAGUAAUAGGAUUUUCGUUGUUAUAUUUUCAUUAAGUUUUCGUUUUUUCUUGCAACUAGGCCUGCGUAUAGAUAUAUGUUUAUCUCUGCAGGGUUUUACAGUUUUAUGUACAAUUUGCUGUAAAUCUUUACUAGUUAAAUAAAUUCAAAUUCAAAUUCA